CCCGGACACAAGCGGUGGAGUAUGUGGUUUAAUUCGAAGCAACGCGAAGAACCUUACCAGGGCUUGACAUGCCGCUGACCGGUUUAGAGAUAGAUCUUUAUCCUUCGGGGUACAGCGGACACAGGUGGUGCAUGGUUGUCGUCAGCUCGUGUCGUGAGAUGUUGGGUUAAGUCCCGCAACGAGCGCAACCCUUGUCUUUAGUUGCCAUCAUUAAGUUGGGCACUCUAAAGAGACUGCCGAUGACAAAUCGGAGGAAGGUGGGGAUGACGUCAAAUCAUCAUGCCCUUUAUGUCCUGGGCUACACACGUGCUACAAUGGUCGGUACAACGAGAAGCAAGUCAGCGAUGGCAAGCAAAUCUCUAAAAGCCGAUCCCAGUUCGGAUUGCAGGCUGCAACUCGCCUGCAUGAAGUCGGAGUUGCUAGUAAUCGCGGAUCAGAAUGCCGCGGUGAAUGCGUUCCCGGGUCUU
rnacentral:rRNA from 2 species